CAGCCGCCGCGGUAAAACGGAGGGUGCAAGCGUUAAUCGGAAUUACUGGGCGUAAAGCGUGCGUAGGCGGUGAGUUAAGUCUGCUGUGAAAUCCCCGGGCUCAACCUGGGAAUGGCAGUGGAUACUGGCUCGCUAGAGUGUGUCAGAGGAUGGUGGAAUUCCCGGUGUAGCGGUGAAAUGCGUAGAGAUCGGGAGGAACAUCAGUGGCGAAGGCGGCCAUCUGGGACAACACUGACGCUGAGGCACGAAAGCGUGGGGAGCAAACAGGAUUAGAUACCCCCGUAGUCCCUGUCUCUUAUAC
rnacentral:rRNA from 1 species